CUUUCUUUGAUGCAAACUCUCUUGCUCCUACUUGGCACUGGCGGAAUAAUCACGUGAUAAAAUCAGUGAUUGUUACCUGGUGUCAAAAAGGAUUUUGAGAAAAAUCAACAGGCUCUUGC
rnacentral:precursor_RNA from 9 species